AGGUGGGAUUACCCGCUGAACUUAAGCAUAUCAAUAAGCGGAGGAAAAGAAACUAACAAGGAUUCCCCUAGUAACGGCGAGUGAAGAGGGAAAAGCCCAAAUUUGUAAUCUGGCUCUUUUAGAGUCCGAGUUGUAAUUUUGAGAACUGUUUUCAGUGCUGGACCAUGUUUAAGUCUGUUGAAAAACAGCAUCAUUGAGGGUGAUAAUCCCGUUCAUGAUAUGGACUACCAGUACUUUAUGAUACAGUCUCUAAGAGUCGAGUUGUUUGGGAAUGCAGCUCAAAGUGGGUGGUAAAUUCCAUCUAAGGCUAAAUAUAGGUGAGAGACCGAUAGCAAACAAGUACCGUGAGGGAAAGAUGAAAAGAACUUUGGAAAGAGAGUUAACAGUACGUGAAAUUGCUGAAAGGGAAACAAUUGAAGUUAGCCUUGUUAUUGUCAGUUCAGCUCUUUUAGAGUGUAUUCUGAUGAUUAACGACCAACAUCAGUCUUUGAGUGCUGGAUAAGGGUUUUGGAAAUGUAGCAGUCUCGGCUGUGUUAUAGUCCAUUACUUUGAUACAGUGCUUGGGAUUGAGGAUCGCAGUAAGCCAUUUUAUGGUGGACCAAAUUUUUGGUCUUCUUACUGAGGAUGUUGGUGAAUA
rnacentral:rRNA from 1 species